UAUCUCUGUAGAGUCUGCAUAUCAAUAAGCGGAGGAAAAGAAACUAACAAGGAUUCCCUUAGUAACGGCGAGUGAAGCGGGAAGAGCUCAAAUUUGAAAUCUUCAAGGUUCUACCUUGACGAAUUGUAGUUUAAAGAAGUGUUUUCUGUUAGAUGAGUAGCAAAAGUUCCUUGGAAUGGGACAUCAUAGAGGGUGAGAAUCCCGUAUUUGGUUAUUCAUUCUAGCUUUGUGAUACACUUUCAAAGAGUCGGAUUGUUUGGGAAUGCAGUCCAAAAUGGGUGGUAAAUUUCAUCUAAAGCUAAAUAUUGGCGAGAGACCGAUAGCGAACAAGUACCGUGAGGGAAAGAUGAAAAGAACUUUGAAAAGAGAGUUAAACAGUACGUGAAAUUGUCAAAAGGGAAGCGUUUGACACCAGUGUUGUUUUUCCGAAAAUCAAUUACGAAUGGCUUGAUUUUGUGUUGUAUUGACCUUAUCAGCUUUCUUCACUUUUUUCGAGUCUUUCUUAAUGCACUUUUCGGUUAACAAGUCAACAUCAAUUUCUUUUGUUGUAAAAGAGUAUUCGGAAGGUGGCUUUCUUUUCGGAGAAAGUGUUUAUAGCCCUAUACUUCUACAAUCGGAGAGAGUUGAGGUCUGCAGCGUAGAUCCUUCGGGGUUAGAUACAUUUGUGCUAAGUUGUAGCUUUUCAUAGACAACUUGUUGACUAUGUUUAGUCAUGCGGCUUACUCGCUUAUGCUAUUUUACCUACGCUUAGGAUGUUGACUGAUAUGUAGUCGUA
rnacentral:rRNA from 1 species